CAGUGGAUAUCUUCGUUCAUCUUAAGUUCGAAGUGCCUAAUGUAUUAUCCACCUGGCAACGGCAAAGUAACGUUGCGCAUGAAGGCGUUGUUUUUGCAUUAUUUUCAGGAAAUCGACGAUUCAGCUCGGAUAUUCCUUUGGCAACCCUUGUUGCGGGCGGACAGGUAAUUGACUGAAAAAUUGAAGGAAAAAGGGAAAAUCGUCCGUUAAAAGCGUAUUACGCUGUUAAUCAGCCUGGAUUUUGGUGUCACGAACGCAGAUAUGUUACAUAUAUGAUCCCUAUUUUCGUAUGCUCCCGCGUAAAUGAGGGCCCAUCACGCAUGCGUGGAUGGCCAUUCGUGAAGGUCAAAGCUACUUUGAUGUUGUUAUCGUUGUUAUUGUGAAUCAUGAGUGAACACCUCACGUAAUAAUUGUUACACGAUUGCAAUAUUCGAGGAAAUAAAUCGCCAAGAGUAAUGAUCUUUUUCAUGUUGCCACACUCUCAAGAAGGAUGUUUGUGAAUGCGGGUUAGAUCAAGAAAAACAUAAAGCAUAAGAAGGUGCGGGACGUUUGAGGUUACUUGAAUGAGUGCAUCCAAAGUAGACAAUGAUGAGGAAAUAAUGUUUGUUUCGCAAUACAAUAUGUCCGAUGAUGCCAGUUACAUUGAAGAAUUCACCAAGCCCCAGAAUUUUUCUGCCGCAGAAUGCACCAAGUCCCAGAACAAAACCCCAGCAUUCACCAAGCCGAAAUUCAGCAAGCGUUUUGUGGCCCCAACCUCGUCAACCUCGUCAACCUCGUCAAGUAGUGCCCCUCCCAAGAAACAUCCAAUUCUAAGCCUCCUUGGGGGAUUAAAAAGCAAAUCUGAAGAGGGAAUUGACCCACCAUUCCAAGCAGUCACCAAUUCAAGAGUCCUGGAUGAGGCGCAACAAGCGUUAAG
rnacentral:lncRNA from 1 species